rnacentral:sRNA from 2 species
ACAUUAAGCUUCUAGGGUUCCGGCAGACCAUCGUUUGUGUCUGGUCCAAGAGAGGCUGGCUGUCAGAAGAUUUUACUGCUGCAGUUACACGGCGGGAAAAAAGCCCGGGAGAG